AAUGGAGACACAGAACUAUCAUGUUUUCACAUCAUUGUUAAUAGACAAUAUGUCAGUGAUUUUCAACUAGUGUGCUGCAAGAAUUGUUAAAACAUGCAAUUCCUAUUUAGUCAGGGGCACUGACCUCUUUUCCCUUAAAUUGUCAAAUUAAAAAAUGACAGCAACCAACACAAGCCAUCCAAUGUGAAUGAAUAAAAAUUAUACCUGUUGUGUUUUUUUUUGGUCAGAUUGGCAAAACAUAUAUUUUUUUGUUGUGCUGCAGAAUUGUAGUAAUCACUACAUGUGUCACAAGAUGAAAAAGGUUGAAAAUCAUUGGCCUGUGUGGAUUUGAGCUAAAAUUUCUUGGCUUGGCUUUGGCAGAGAACAGUACAUACCCUUGGCAGUGAGUUUGGAUGUUGUCUAAUUUACUGUGUUUCACCUUACUGGAGCACUUUUUAAGAAGUAGCAUUGCUCAGCAGGCUUGAGGGCUCAUUGGACAGUCAAAGCUUUGUUACUAGGCCUGUCCCUGGCACUGAUUUGCAAAGUGAACUCCCUGAACUCUUCUCUUUCCUCAUGCUGAGGUGGCCAUGUAAUGGCAUUAAGGGUUGCACAAACUUUCCAUAUUCAGUCUAUUAAAUAUGUGAUUUUUGUUGUUGUUAGUCGUACUGUUGACACAAAUGGUGCCUCCCUAUUGACAGGAAGGCACUAUUUUACCAUUUCAAUCUUGACUUUUCCAACAAUAUGUUUGCUCUGGGUGCUCUGGUUAUUAAUAGGAAACACUUAGGCUUUUGCGGUCUCUUUGUUUCAUCCUGGUUAUAAUAUAAAUGUAUUAUAUUUUAUUUAAUCUACAUAAAGACCCUAUGAGGUAGGCUGGACAGAUGAAUAAACUAUUAUACAGAUGAAUAAAAUGAGUCCCAGGCACACUGGCAACCCCUUUAAGAUUUCUCAGCUGCUGUGUAUGAGAACUGGCACUCAAACUCAGGUUUCUGAUAUCUAUUUCUGUAUUUCUAAACAUAUUUCCACAUGUUUUCGAGACAUUUCACAUACUAAUUUCAAUGUAAUAAAGAUCUUUCAAGCUGACACACGAAUAUACAUCUGGGGAAAAUUAUCUGAAACAAUUUAACGCUUAGAAAAUGUGGAGGUAGCUAAGCAAGGCUCUCAGAAAUAUUUACUUUAUAGAAAUAGAUGGGUUAUCUGGUGUUUGGUCAUUUGUUUAUUCCUUCCUUAAUGCAACAAAUAUUUAUAAAGUGCCUACUAUGUGUUGGAUGUUGAUGCUUUCCUACCACUGAGGAUACACACACGUUACAGCAUGAUGCCUGCCUGAUGGAGCUUAGCCCUAGCCAAUAUGAAGCUUUUCCAAUGCACAGACUAUGUUGGCACUAACAAAAUAUAGUCAGCAGCACCAACUAGACAUGAACAACAAUUGUUGCAGUUUAGUUUUUAUUUCUCCCUUAUUUUUUCAAUAGCGUAUAUUAGUUCAUACGUUUCUCAAGAACAGUGCGUUAAGAAUGAAAGGGUGUCCUGCUUCCAAACAUAUUUCACAUAAAAAUUGAACUCCAAAGCUUAUGCAGUAGGAUUUUAUUUAUAUCAUGUCCCACUUGAUAUAAGAUACAUGCCCUACUUGUAUUUAUUUACUUUUGGAUCAGGAAGUAAAGGAAAGAGAGGAGUAAAAACUAGCGGAUGAUGUGAGCUGAAAAACAAUGAAAUUAUUUUAUUUACCAAAUGAGUUGAUACGUUUUCUUCAGGUGUAUUAAGUUUGUGGAGUAUGAUAGACCUGUUUGUUUUGAACUCCUUAGAAGUUCAGAUUUCAUGUCUAAUUAUCACUACCCCUUGAGCUCUUACCUCUUUCCUGCUAAUUGGUUAAUAUUUUGAUGCAUGAUUAUGGGGUAGUGAAUGAUGCACUAGAAAUUCCGGUUUAGUGAAGCCAUGGAAGCAGAAAUUAUCUUGGCAGUUAAUUCCAUAAUCUGCCUAAUCUUCCAAUUCACGUCAAUUUCUCCUCAAAGAAGGGGACUUGGAAUUUUCAUUAUUAUGGAUGUUUUCCCCCAAGACAAGUUAUAACUCACCUGUGAGACUCUGACUUAUAAAUGGUUGUUUUCUGUCAACAUUAGACAUGACCUUUAUCUGAGUUUUAGAUCAGGAAGAAAAAACACAACAAUGAAAACGCCUGCCAAAUAAUAGAAAGUAUUUGUAUGCAGUAUAUCAUUAGAAUAAUUUUACGCAAAAUAAAAAAAAAAUGUUUGCUAUUUUCAAUGCUUGUCUCUGGGAAGCGGAUUUGUGAAUUCUUUGUUUCAACAUGGUUUCCCAGUGGAUUAACUAUUUAAUCUUCUCAGAGUGUUAAAAUAGUUUUCCUCUGGCUGAGGCUUUAUUUGAAGCAAAUGACAGCUAAGCCAAAGGGGUAAUUUUCAUGAUACCUCACAAUUAUUAUGUAGUCUUUCUGAAUGUUUAAGAAUUAUAUCUGAGGUUCCUUUGUCCUUCGUUUCUUUUGAAAUUAUUAGCCAUUUUAUAUAUAGAACAUAAUUUUUAGUACUUCUAUAAUUAUUGACAAAAUUGAUUUUAAAACUUGAAGGGGACCUUGAUGGGGCCAGCUGGUUGAAACUUUUUUUUUUUUUAAGGCAGUUGAGGCAAUAGCGGCCCAGACAAGUUGAGAGAAUUGCUUGAGGACCCACAACUAGCAGCUCAAGUCUUCUUUGUGCUGUGGAUUUCGCUGGCAGACAUCCCAGAAAUAAAAUAAACUUAAAAAACUGCAGUUUUAAUCCCUUAAGCCCUCCCUAUAAAAGUUCAUUUUGACAUUUUGGUGAGUUCUUCCAUCUCAGUGCCCAUUAUUUUGGCUUCUAGAAACUAGACCAGUGAUUCUAGUGAGCAGGGGACCCUGGAGUAGCUAUCCAACUUUAUAUUCCUGGUAUAUUCAAAUGUGAAGAAAUUGCCAAAACUGAGUAAUAAACAUAAUAUAGACAGUUUUCAACAUUGGCAUGUAACACAUGGAUGCUCUAACAGCAGCUACAGAAGGACAAUGUGGGAGCAGUCUAAUUUUGAAAUAAUGAUAAAUAUGUACUGGUAAACAGCAGGAUUUUGUAAAUGCUCAGCCUGGAAUGUGUGGCCUCUCCUCCUCCCCUCACCUCGAUUCUUACAACUUUCCCUCUCCUCCUGUAGACUUGAGGAUUGUACCACAUUGCAGCAAAAAUGGCAGCCGCACUACAAAGGAGGUGGCUGGAGGGUGGGGUUGAGGUAGAGGUCAGAUGGGGUGAGGUGAGUUGUAUUUAUUGGGAUCUGGAAUUGGAGACUGAGGUAGAAAUCUGAGUGGUUUAAAAAGACCCCUUUUGAGUAUUACUUAACUAGAUAGAUGGUUCUAAACUUCUAAAUAAUAUAUCAGCCCUUCCCAUCCUUAUUUUAAAAGGAAAUAAAGAAUAAAACACAAUUUGAUCAUAAUGGAGACCCAUCAUCCAAAAAAAUAUCCUAAAUCUCACCUCUUCACAAAAUCUUUCUAGACUGCUCCCACGCAGGGACAUUUCUGCCUUUUGAUGGGAUUGGUCUUCUUUGUAUGAUUCUUCUUCCACUCUCUCUAAAAUCCCAAUGGGAGGGGUACACACAAUGUAGUGGUUUUCACUGUUUGGCUUAAAAUGUUCCCCAAACUCAGAGAACAUUUAAUGCUUUUUUGUUGUUGUUCAUUUUUUGUAGAAGAUGCUAACAGUAUUCACAGCAUUAUUACAAUAGAAUAUUUGAAGGGCAUUGGGGUUAUUGAAUCGAAACAAGCUGAUAUCUGUAAAUCUAGUUUGGAAUGGAGGUCAUUCAGGAUUUAAUCCCAGGAUCAUUUAAUUUGUGUAACUGUCCUCCAUGUGCUUCUUCAGUAAGAGCAAGAAAGAAAAAAAAAGUCACACUUGGUUGUGGAGAGGUGGGCAGCAUGUGCCCAGGGACUGAAACAAGAGUAGAUAUUCACAUUCUUUGACACAGCUGCACAGUCAGUUUGGAGUUCUAAAGAAGAGACUUUUUCUUUCAGCAAGCAGGAACAAGAAACCUUGGAGAGGGUCAAGCUGUAGUUAUUCAUUACGAUGCGACAAUUUUUUUUUGUUUAUCACAUAAUUGUUGAAUGUCCACUGUGCCCUGGAAUCACAGAAGUUGGAGGCAUUAAAGCAAUGGGAGGUGCAUGAUUGAAUGAACAUUGGAUGGUUAAAAAACUUUUUUGGUCUGGACUCUUACCAAUGAUAAACUUUGAGUAGGAGUUAUCCACUUAACCUCAGUGGACUUUGGAAAGGAUUAAAAGAAAUAACCAUGUGAAAGCAUUUGGAAAACAGUUUUUACACAAACAUAGGCAGUAAUAUUAUUAGAGAUGAGUUUGAGAUAACCAGGAAUGGGCAUGUUGGUUAUAUUCCAAACUCUAGCAAUUGGAUUAGUCAUUCUCUAAUAUGUAACCCAUAACUUGAAUUUGCAAAGUGCUUGUAGCUGUUUGUAUUUUUUUGUUUUUGAGUGUCUAUUACUUGCAUCACUAUGAAUGAAACAAAAAUGUGUAUAAAUACUUUUAAAAAACCUUA